AUUUCUUGAGUGUAUUUGGGCGAGUAUGGACUUUGGAGUAGUCUGGCUUGGUAUUUUGUAUUUGCGUCACAUGCAAUUAGAUUAGUUUUACACUUUUACCUCACUCUCUCUCUCUCUUCCAGUUAGUUUUCUAUCUCUGUCUUCCCUCUAUCUUUCCUCAACCCCCUUGUCUCUCAAUCUCUUUCUUCCAGUCAGUAUACUCUCUCUUCCCUCUAUCAUCACCAUCACUCUGAAGUAGUUUAUCACCAUCGUCGGUCGGUUCGUGCGUGGUUGGAUUGUAGCUGGGUGGCUGGUUUUGGCGCGUGGAGAAACGAAGCAGUGUAGGCGAGGAAUACUGAAGAAUUUGAAGAAAUUACCUGAAUUUGUGAAAAGCUGUGAUAUAGGAAUUUGGACGAAAACCUUGGAUAAAAUGUCAGUGGUGCCGACCUUGAAGAAUGUGGCCAAGAUGAUGUGCAUGUUAAGGAUUUCUUGCCUGCAAUGAAAGUUGUUUGUGAUAGACUUGAGCAAGCCGAAGGCAAGGUUCUCGUGGUCUCAGAUAUAAAACAGGAGCUUGGCUAUCGAGAAACGAAAGGACAGAGCUUGGAGGUUUACUUUAGGGUUUGAAAUCAGAGGAUUGGAUUAAGGUAUAUGAAUCUUUGAAUGAUACUAGGAGAUUGGCUACUUAUCACUUUACUCUUUUGCUCCCAUUGUUGUAAGUUUCUGAAUUAUAAUUUUACUUAUUAAUUCAUGGAAAUUGCUGAAUCUGUUUCUUAAAAUAGUAUUAUAAUGUAUAUAUUGGGAACUCAGGGAACCGGUUGUUGUGGUGUUGGUGAAGGCUAUGAAGAAUCCAAGAAGUGCUUUGUGCAAGACAUCUAUUAUGGCUGCUACUAAUAUUCUUGUUACUUAUCAUGAUAAGUUGUUGGAACCUGAUUUCUCUGGUGGUUUUAGUUUUGACAAUUUGGUAAACUCUCGUUUAUUAGUUCUUGCUCCUACUAUGUGCAUUUCUUCACAAGAAUGGCUGAAUUUUGUAGAGUUCAACCUUUUGUCAUAUGUUUUAUCCAUGUUAUUCGUUGCCCGAUGAUCUAAUUUUCCAAUUUUAGAUUAAUUUGAGUGGUGUUUGGCCGACAAAUAAGUAUUGGUUGGGGAAAAAGAUCGAGAACUUUAUGAAAGACUUUGGGGCCUGUAAUUAUUUCUCCUUAUAUCUAUGUUGGUGGUUCGUUGUCUUUAUAUCUUGUUCAUGAUGUUAUUGGUCUUUCCUCUAGUAAUGGUUUAUUAUCUAUUGUUUGUUCUAGUUUAAACUUGUUUUCAUAUGAACGAACUUGUAUUGGAUCAUUGCUUCUUUCGUUUCCCUUGUCUAUUUAUUUGGCUAGUUAUGUAUGUUUAGUUAUGAAAUUAUUGUGUUUGAUUUCAUGAAUUAUUAGCUAUUUGAUAUUUAGCUUAGUGAUGGACACUGAUCAGAUUUCAAGGAAAGAGACACAAUUCGUUUUUUAAAUCACUUUGUUCUCGUUGGAACAGUUUGGAGGUCUGACUUCUCUGGGCUCAUUCUCCUUUGUAACUCUUUUCAGGUGAUUCUUUUUUUGAAAUUGGAUGAUUUUUUGUCUACUCUUUGGCUGUAAAAUUUCAGGUUUUUUUUUAGUUUGUUUGCUAUUAAACUGGGUUGUCUUCUGAAAACUGGUUAAUUGUUGUUCGAUUUGGUGUAUGCUUCUGUUUUAGUUCAUUUUUCUUAGAGUUGUGCUGCGAUUUUUGCUGGGAUAUUCAUGCGUGGUUUAGGGUGUUUUAAGAGUGCUUUACUCAUAUAAAUUGCAUCCUUGCUACUGCUAUACUCUGGUUUCUUGCUUUGUUUUGUGCACAUAUUUUGUGUGUAUCGUAAAACAUGGGUAAAGAAGCUAUAAACAAACUGGAGGAAAGGUUGACUGAUCAAGCGGAAGCUAGCUUUGAUGCCAUUGCUAAGUAGUUACAAGUUCGUAAAAGAAGAAAGAAUGGAAAGAUAAUGAUGAUGAGUCUUUGCAUAUCUGAAGCAAGUGAUAGACAAGUCUGGUUUUAAGUAUUCAAGUUAGCAGAUUUUUGAGAAAUGGAUAUCUUGUUUUUUUGUUCUUGGAAGAUGGAAUGAUUAAUUUUAGUGUAGAUACAUGUACUGAUAUUAUUACUCUUUGGAAUUAUAAUUAUAAUUUAUUUUUA